AAGGUCAACUGAAACGAUUUUCAAAGUUCGUUUUUCAAAUAAAUUCCGUAAGAAAAUACCAUUCCUUAAAUGUUUUCACAUAAGAAUAAUUUUUGUUUCGAUCAUCCAGGUAGAUACGACAUCGUUAAUUUCAACCCGGUAAAUUUUAUUUUAUGAGUUAUCUGCCCUUUAGGCGAACCUGAUAUUUCAAUAUGGCGGCACGAUAUGAAAAUCAUUCGGAAGAUUGUAUUCCUGAAAUAGAUAUAUCGCUUAGUGUUAAUGUGCAGCCCUGCCAAUACGAACCAGUUGUACAGCGAGACGCAUCCCCACUAGUGGAAAACGAUAGUUAUUCAGAAAACAGCAAGGUCGAUAUGCAAUGGUUUGUUAAUUUAGGCUAAUUAUUUAUAUGAGACUUUUAAUGAAAACGAAACGAUUACUCAAAGCUCAGAAGUGCAUCAGCAUGUAUUUCUAAGACUAGUUUUCUAUUAUUCUAACAGGUGAUCAUAUAGGCUAGUAAUGUCAUUGCAAUGCCCUCAAGAAGGGAGUCCAAAUGUUGCAGUGCAUAGGAUUGAAGAAGUGGGCGUGUCCUGCAUCACAGAUCACGAAGGUUUUGUUGUGGCAAACUGUCUCAACAGAUUGGUUAUAGGAACAGCUUAUUAUGAAUGCAUACAAAAUAUUGGUCCCUUGGAGGAGGGGGAAUUGAUUCACAAAUUUUACAGACAUCAUGCAUAUUGGAGAUCUGGUAGUAGCUUGGGAAAAACAAUUGGAAAGUUCUUCUAUCCUGCGUUGUGACUAUGAUAAGAAAUCAUUCCAUCACAACAGUACUGUGGAUUUAAAUACCCUUUGGUAUUAAUUUAAAUGUGUGAUCAAUUCUUAAUGCAUUUUUCAUAAGUGAUAUAAAUAAAUAUAAACAAGUAAACAUAGUUUGAUGUUCAGUUUUUAUAUUGUACAUAAUAUAUAUCACCAAUUUACAUAUAUGUAAUUUGGGUUAAAUCCAAAAGGUCUACAGGUCCCAGUCACCUGAGUUUGACACAUGUUGGUAGGAAUUUGUGAUCGGGGCAGGAGAAUUACCAACAACAUCCAUUAUAUUAACUUCCUGGAGUUUCUGUAGGAGCCAAACUGAUCACUUCCUGCAUCAAUUCAAAGGCUUAAUCUGAAAUAUAACAAAACGUUACAAUUCAAUAAACAUGUACUUAUUGUCUAGUAUUAUGAAUAUCCACUCACAUACAUACUAAUUAUGUGGGUCAAUUUAAAAAAUGUACAUAUUUGAGGUGAAGAAAAACAAAAAAAUUCAAAUGUCGCAGAAAAUUAAUUUUCAUAUUAAUGAAGCAUUGUAAAAUAAAUGUCUAGAUACUAUUAAAUACCAAUGUUCUUUAAUAUUUUCUAGAUUGAAAUUGCUAAUUUAUUCAAGUAUUUCAAAUAAUUUAAUGCAAAUUAGUAGAUAAAAAUGAAAAUAAGUAUGUCAAUGGUCAAAAUUGACCUACAUGUAAAAUUUGUACAUGUAUUCCGUUUCUUUUUCCAACAACUGGAUUUAUUUAAUGAUACAAGUUUAAUUUUCCAUCUCAUAAUUAUAAGAAUAUUAUCAAAACUAUGGUUGUAAGAAAUAUUCAUUUAUCAAUUUCACAAUUUAUCUAUUUAGUAAAUUGUAAAAUUGCUUCUUUUGGGGGGGGGUUCUGUAACUUGGGAAAUUUGCAUAGUAUCAGCAUGGAUAAAUAAAUAUAUGCUCUGCAUUUAAUUAAUCAAAUGUGGAUCAUGUGUACUUAGUCAUGUUGCAUGUAUAUCAUAAAGCUGAUUAAGUAUACUCGACUAGUGAUAUUUUUAUUGUACUACUACUUGUGUAGAUUUUUCUAUACC